AGAACGAACGCUGGCGGCAUGCCUAAUACAUGCAAGUCGAACGAACUCUUCGGAGUUAGUGGCGCACGGGUGCGUAACGCGUGGGAAUCUGCCCCUUGGUUCGGAAUAACAGUUGGAAACGACUGCUAAUACCGGAUGAUGACGAAAGUCCAAAGAUUUAUCGCCAAGGGAUGAGCCCGCGUAGGAUUAGCUAGUUGGUGAGGUAAAGGCUCACCAAGGCAACGAUCCUUAGCUGGUCUGAGAGGAUGAUCAGCCACACUGGGACUGAGACACGGCCCAGGCUCCUACGGGAGGCAGCAGUAGGGAAUAUUGGACAAUGGGCGAAAGCCUGAUCCAGCAAUGCCGCGUGAGUGAUGAAGGCCUUAGGUUGUAAAGCUCUUUUACCCGAGAUGAUAAUGACAGUAUCGGAAGAAUAAGCCCCGGCUAACUCCGUGCCAGCAGCCGC
rnacentral:rRNA from 1 species